rnacentral:tRNA from 1 species
GCCCGGAUAGCUCAGUCGGUAGAGCAGGGGAUUGAAAAUCCCCGUGUCCUU